GUUGAUCUUGGUUCAUUUUCUUUUGAAAAAGUUGCUAUUGAAAAUCAUCUGAGAUUUGUUUAAAAUUGAGAGCAAAAGAAUUUAUUCAUUGUGGGUUGUGCUUAAAUGAUAUCUACCCUCCAUAUUAGAAAAGGUUGGUUACAACUUGAAUAUUAAUUGAAAAAUCUUUUGAGAGCAUUAAGUUUUCUUGUGUAUGAUCAAGUGCAGGAUUGAACACCGAAAGGCAACGCAGAUAUCUAUUGAAGACUUACUCGAGGACGAGCAAGAUUUAAAUAUGGAGGGAUUGUUGACGCUCAUUAUUAACACACUUUUACCCCUAUUUAUCGUCAAUAAUGACAUGAAUUUAAUACCUAA
rnacentral:lncRNA from 1 species